rnacentral:lncRNA from 1 species
UGGUGUAUUAUAUAGUUCUAGGGAUUGUAUUUCACUCAAAACCCACCAAAUGACUCCUCCCACAAUAUUAUGAUGUUCCCCAAGUUUUGAACUUAAUCCGAUAUCGAUUGGUCCUUGAAAUCGGACAAUUCAGGUUCGUACGAAGUUCGUUCUGAAAUGGGGUGAUUGGUGUAUUGUAUUGUUCUAGAGAUUGGAUUUCACUCAAAACCCACCAAAUGACUCCUCUCACAAUAUUAUGAUGUUCCC